rnacentral:lncRNA from 1 species
UCCAGGACACGAUACACAAGAUUAUUGGUCCUUAAAGCAUAAAAUUCAAAAUCUGAUCAAAAGUGGCAGUAUUGUGGUCCAACAACCUGACCAACAAAAUGUCAACACCAACCUUUCGUUGCAGCAUGAUACGGAGGAAGUAAACAUGAUCGGGUUAGGAAGUGCUGAAAUGUAUCCAAAUCGUAAGUACAUACGAAGGAUAAAGG